UACGUAGGGUGCGAGCGUUGUCCGGAAUUAUUGGGCGUAAAGAGCUCGUAGGCGGUCUGUCGCGUCGAUCGUGAAAACUUGGGGCUUAACCCUGAGCUUGCGGUCGAUACGGGCAUGACUGGAGUUCGGCAGGGGAGACUGGAAUUCCUGGUGUAGCGGUGAAAUGCGCAGAUAUCAGGAGGAACACCGGUGGCGAAGGCGGCAUCCUGGACCACGACUGACGCUGAGGAGCGAAAGCCAGGGGAGCAAACGGG
rnacentral:rRNA from 1 species